rnacentral:misc_RNA from 1 species
GCAUGUGGCUGUUUAAUAUACAAGACAGAAGAACUAGAUUAGAGGGAUUUUUGUUGUGAUUUACAGCAGCUAAUUGCCAGGAACUUGAUUUUCCAAAGUCCCUACUGUCAAGAAGUGGAUUAUAGAGAGAGGACAAAACAACAAAGCAUCCUUGAUGAUCAGCUUAGAAAUUACAGGAAACACAACAGACUUACUUGGACGUUGUAACUUUGGGCUUAUAAAAACAUCAAACACCAACACCAUGCAUUGACUUCACCGAUGUUCUCACCUCGUAACUAUCGUAUCCUUAAAAUUUAAGUAUCUUUCUGCAUUUUCUCGAAUGCUUCCUUUAUCUUCCUUAGAUUCUCCAAAAGCUUUUAUCUUCUUUCAGUUCCCUUGACUUUCAGAAAAGUCCUGUACAAAGAGUUUUGUUACAUACAGAACUCACAAUAACUAUGGCUUCAAUGGAUAAAAACUCAUUGAGAUAUGGCAGAGCCUCUCAGCCGUUUUCUGCUGAUUCAUCGAAGCCAAGGCGAAGCGGGUAUGAACCUUCUGAUACGGAAACUGAUUGGCAAGAAAGUCCUCAAUGUGAUCAGAAUCACAACAGUAUGGUUUUUGGUCCUCAGAGUCCAAAGAUGGAUUUGGAUUUGCCAAGAAAAAUUAGUCCUAUGAGACAAGGCACUAGCAGGAAACUUUCUUCAAAAUUUGAUAAUUAUUCUCCUAAAAGGGACUCUAUGGCCAGCCCAGUUAGGAGGAGACAGACCAGCAAGUCACCCUACAAGACGCGAACACAAGAUGGUAGAGCUAUUUCACCAGUAUCAGUUCGUAGAAAUGUUAGUCCCUUAUCAAAAUCCGAGCACAGAAGGCAGGUUUCUCCAUUUAAGCCUGGAAGAGAGGAGCAUGAUAUGUAUAACAAUGACGAGAAUGUAGGCUCUAGCAGAAGGAAAAAUCAAAUAACUCCUAACGGAGAGGAAAGGAGUUCCUUCUUACAAUUUGGUGAAGUUAGUAGAAUGAGCGAGAGAUCAGCCCAUAGUCGUAGAUCGGUAACUGCUCCAAGACAAAGAGCCAAGGAGGAUCAAGAAAAUGAUCAUGGUCAUAGGAAGCAAAAAGGGGAGAGAUCCCCAUCACCUUUGCCAAGAAGCAUGACUAGAAAACAAAGGGAGAGAGAAGCUUCUGACACAAAAACACCUCCUGUUGGUGAACUAAAUGAGAUGGUAGCUAAUAUUAAGAUGUCUAGAACUCCCAUAUUUAACGCUUCAAAUUUUGAAAGUACAGAGUCUAUUUCUCCUGGUGAUAUCUUCUUUUCUCGCGAGCAAACAGCCUCGAUGAUGCAGAAGAAUGGCUUGCCAAAGAAUGGUAAUAAUGGAGCCAAUCUGAUCCCGAUGCCCACAAGGUUGCCCCAGAUGGAUUCUGUACUUCAACAGCUAAGCUCAACUAAUAGUAGUAUUGAACAAAACGCUCCAAGAAAUUUGACGAGUUCUGGUUCACGAUCCACUAUGAUUUCCAGCUCUGCUGCAAGUAGGCAGAGUAGUGGCAAGUUUAGCAGUGAAAGCGGUAAGCUGAGUGAUACGAGUAGGACAAGUGCAAGCUGGAAAAAGUUCACAGCAAAUAGAAAGAAGAGUCAAGCAGAUGCUUGUUUUUCUUGUAUGAGAAGGGGGACUUGCAGGACCUCAAGAUCAUCUGAAAAACAACAUUUUGAUGAAGCUUCAUUCAUUAAGAAGGCGUUCGUGGUUGAACGUUUGAGAGAGUUUUGGGCUGAUAAACAUCAACCUUGUUCUCUGAAUGGAUUUACUUGCCACAAACAAGAAGCUCAACUUCUUAAGCAACUUGUACCUCUUAACAAUAUUCCCCAUAUUUUGCUGAAGGGACCAUCUGGUGCGGGGAAAAGAUCACUAGCAAUGGCUCUUCUAUGGGAAAUAUUUGGCGAUGCUUGUCGAAAUAUGUCGCAUGAUUUAAGAUAUUUCCAGGUUCAGGAAAAUAAGGCAAUGCAGGUAGCUGUUCCAGUAACAUCAAGUAUUCACCAUGUGGAACUCAAUGUGAACUCGGAACCAAAUGCUAAAUAUGCACUAAUGGGUAUAGUGAAGGAAAUAAGCAACGCCUAUGGUAUUGUCCCUGAAGUCAGCAAUAUUAAUUUUAAGCCUGAUUAUAGAGUACUAGCUCUUUACCAGGUUGACAAAGCGACAGAGAACAUUCAGCACUUGAUAAAAUGGAUAAUGGACUGUUAUACAGAUGCAUGUAAACUCAUAUUGUGCUGUGAAGAUGAUGUAGAGAUCCUAGAAUCAGUGAAGAACCGCUGCAAAGUUAUUAAAGUCGAUGCUCCAGUAACUCAUGAAAUCAUGGAGGUUCUCAUUCAGAUAGCCAGGAAAGAGGGCUUUGAUCUACCUAUGAACUUUGCAGCUAGGAUUGCUGCCAAAUCAAAGCAGAACCUGAGAAAAGCAAUCAUGGCUCUUGAAGCAUGCAAAGCACACAACUAUCCUUUUGCUGAUGAUCAGCCAAUUCCAUUUGGGUGGGAAGAGGUCUUGGUAGAACUUGCAACAGAAAUCCUUACUGAUCCAUCACCUAAGAGACUGUUUUUGGUGCGGGGAAAGCUUCAAAAGCUUCUUGUGGAUUUUGUGCACCCCAAACUAAUUCUCCUGAAACUCGUCGAACAAUUCCUUAAGGGAGUGCAGGCCAGUUCAAGAAGGGACCUCUAUUAUUGGCAUGGUUAUUAUGAUAAGAGGCUCCCAACAGGAUCAAGUGCUUUGCUCAAAUUAGAAGAGUUUGUGGCCAAGUUCAUGAGCAUACACAGAAAGUGUUCUGGCAAUCAUCAGUAUGAAUAAUUCACAUGAAGCUAGUUUUGAGAUCCCCCUUUCAACAGGCAUAUAACGCCAUUUUUAGGUAAUACUGCUAUAGAUGCUGCUCAGAAAUGUAACUAUAUCAAUUUGUUUUGCUUUCUUAAAAGAUGAAGGGAGAUAAUCAACAUACAAAGUGAACUUGUAUGUAUUGUUGGCUUCAAUGGGAUAAAGAUUCAGCAGACUGCUCUUCCAUCACCAAGCAUCCAGGUAAGGUGAUACAGCAAAGCUUACUGGCAAGUAUCCUGAUGCUUGUGUUGACGUUCUGUUGAUUAGAAUUUAUGUGAUUUCCAUUGGUUGACUUAUAAUUAUCACAAGAUCUUGGUACUGAACUUUGGAAGUAAUCAUAACACAAGAGGAGAACGCAUAUUUGGGAUGAGUUUUUGUACCAUCACUGUUUUUCUUCUUUUAGACUCUAAUCUUGAUUCAAACUCAUAAACUCCCAACUUUAGAGUCGCCUGUCAUGUCCCAGUAAGUCCCAAGCCAAAGCUCAUUGAUAGUAUCAACGUUCACCAAUGUUUCCACGAGUGUUUGAUACUUUGCUCACUCCAAAAGCUUAUGUCCACAUGCAAUGUUGUCUAAUUUUGGUCUUUAGAUUCCAUUCUCUACUCAACUUCUCACACAUUCAGCCAUGAUUUUGCUAAUAUCAAUGAACCCAAGCAGAUACAAUAUUUGAUAAAAUUAGAUUUCAUUUCCUUGCAGAUAUGGCAACUAGUACAUUAACAUUGAACUCCCUUCAAAGUAAGGAGUACACAAUUUAUGCAAGAUGCAUGUCUAACAGCUGCCGCAUUAUUCGCUAUAUAGUUGCGAUGACAUGUGAAAUACAGAUUUUUCAUCCAACAAGUAUGCACAAUGAGCAUUAAAAUCUACCAAAAACUGUGUUUUGUUAGCUAUUCAAUAAGACGCCCAGGCCAAAAUUGACUCGGAUGUCCCAAAAGUUCACAAAUUCUAUAACACUGACAAAGACGUGUCUACUAACAUAAGAUUUCUUUUAAGUGCAAACUGUUGAAGUUGCAGAAGUUACAGACUCACAGUAUUUCAUCUGUUUAAAAUGUCUCAUCCUUAGAUCAGACCACCUUCUGCCUUGUUUAGUGGUUCAGCAGCUCUCAGUGACUCAGUCUGUUGCUAUGCUGCUAAUUGCAGACGAUUUCUUACCAGUGUACCUCUGUAAAAAUCAAAGGACUGAUUACUUCUUGCAAUGCUUCCAUAAUAGAUAUGUCAAUGAAACUGACGGACCAGCAGUAUAAGUGAUGAAAAUAACUACUAACAAAUGAACCAAAUAUUGCAAUUCUAAUCAUACAUUUUAACCAACACAACCUGCUUUCCAAUAUUGAAAGGGACAUAUUUGUAUUUGACCAUAUGUAGGAUUUGCCGUUUCAUUGUGAGGACAAAUAGAACAAUCCAGUAACAUAACAAUAUUGGCCAGAAAACAGGUACAUCCAAUACAGAGAAGAAGGUCAAAAGAAAAGCCACAACAAAAGCUUUUGUGAUGGCAUACCUGAAACCAUACAUUCAGAAAAUUUCCACAAUUUAAACAGUAACAUAUGCCCAAAAGAACCUACCUCCACCCCACAAAAAAAAAAAACAAAAUCUAUAAUGUCAAUAAGAGGAUUUAGACAUAAUGAGUUGCACUGAUGAAGUUGUUGAAAGGCACUGUAAACACUUUUGUGCAUUUGUUUCAAUUUAGCUUACUUUUACUUCCUAAAAACUGAUUUUCAUUAAUUUGGAUAAAAGAGGUGCACUGAUGAAGUUGAAAAGCACUAGAACCACUUUUGUAGCGUUUAGUUCAACUUUUUGUUUUUUAUUUUUUACUCUUUUAAAAAAUUGAUUUUCAUUGGUUUUUUAUUUUUAUAAAUAAAAAAUGAUAACAAAAAAAAUAUUUGGCAAAUAUUUGCUUUUUUAAACUUUUUAUAACAUUAUCUCACUAGUGGUGGUGGAAGUUGGGUGGUGGUGGUGGUGGUUGGCACAUCUAUACAAGACCUAACAUUAUUGCUAGAACCAACAGCCUCAAUAUCAACAGUAAGUCACCCAGUCUGUGACAAUAGAAGUAUACUAAGUUAAUAUCCAAGCAAAACUGAAUCAAGAAAUCUUUCCUUUCUUAACAUUGCUAGCAGAAGUAGAUGAAAUUAAUUUGCCAAAAUUUCAUGAAACUAAUGACACGGAAAUUGCCAAAACUCAAGCCUUUUCCUUUUCAUCAAUAGUACAAAGCACAAAAGAAUGCCAAGGGAUGACUAACAUCCGAGAUCAAGAAAGCCGGUUAAAUUCUGGCAAACUGGAACAAAGCCUCCUAAAACACCUAACACCUGGAUUUUCAAAAUGCUUUUCCCCUUUCACCAAGAGCACAAGUCACAUGCAAGCCAACGGCAUAAACAACUAUUUGGGAUCAAAUAGGCCCGUUAGAUGCUAAAUUAUGCACAUGCCAAAAAGCUUAAGUUUGGCAUCCUAAACAUGCUAGGUUCCACAGGUAAAUGUAUUUGGAAACUUAUUUCAGAAAGAGGAAAAAGAACAGCUCGAUAAUUUUGAAAAGAUUAAAGCACGUAUUGAUAAGGCAAAAAUAACAAAUUACCAGAACUUGAACUCAGGUAGGCGGCGAAUGAAAGGUUUGAAUUCAUCAGAACCUUUGGUAGGCAAGGAAGCUCCAUCCAAAGCUUCAAGCUCAGGAUCAUCCUUGGGCGACAGAAAACCAAUCAAGAGAUUCAAAAUAUAGAUCCCCAGACCAUAGGAAACAACAUAAAACCCUUGAAGAUAGUAAACUCGUAAAACAUAUAUCAUUGCCACAGCCAAAGUUCCUAGCCACCUCCGCAUUGUAUGAGGGGUUGAUCUAUCAAGAUAAUACUGAAAUACCCUCGAAAAAUCACUCCUCCAUUUAGCAAGAGGUGCCCCAUUGUCAUCUCCCACUCCCUCCAUGAAAUUUAAGAAUUGCCGCUCAGAUUCCAAUGGUAUGAACCCUAAUUCAGUAACAUUAAAGAACAAGGUAAGUAUAAAAAUUAAAUUAGGCGGUAUAUAAAAGAUGUCAAGAUAACUCAUCAAGAACUAUAAAACCUAGAAACACUUUGACCUCAAUGCUACAAAUUCUAGCUAACAAAACAGAGCGUUGAACGAUAUUUAUUUCCUAUAAUGGUGACUGUAUUCAAGUGACAUGCGAUUGCGAGCCAGUGAGGGUUUAAGAAUCCAAGUGAAAGAUAGUUACAAAAAGAUACCAGAAAAAUGCUUGAGAGCAUCUAGGGUUUUAUCCGGUAAGCCAAACGAGGAAGAAAGUGAAU